rnacentral:rRNA from 1 species
UACGUAGGGUGCAAGCGUUUGUCCGGAAUUAUUGGGCGUAAAGAGCUCGUAGGCGGCUUGUCGCGUCGGCUGUGAAAACCUGGGGCUCAACCGUGUGGUCUGCAGUCGAUACGGGCAGGCUAGAGUUCGGUAGGGGAGACUGGAAUUCCUGGUGUAGCGGUGAAAUGCGCAGAUAUCAGGAGGAACACCGGUGGCGAAGGCGGGGU